rnacentral:rRNA from 1 species
ACUGCGAGUGAAGCGGGAAAAGCUCAAAUUUAAAAUCUGGCAGUCUCUGGCUGUCCGAGUUGUAAUCUAGAGAAGUGUUAUCCGCGCUGGACCGUGUACAAGUCUCCUGGAAUGGAGCGUCAUAGAGGGUGAGAAUCCCGUCUUUGACACGGACUGCCAGGGCUUUGUGAUGCGCUCUCAAAGAGUCGAGUUGUUUGGGAAUGCAGCUCAAAAUGGGUGGUAAAUUCCAUCUAAAGCUAAAUAUUGGCGAGAGACCGAUAGCGAACAAGUACCGUGAGGGAAAGAUGAAAAGAACUUUGGAAAGAGAGUUAAACAGUACGUGAAAUUGCUGAAAGGGAAACGCUUGAAGUCAGUCGCGUUGGCCAGGGAUCAACCUUGCUUUUGCUUGGUGUACUUUCUGGUCGACGGGUCAGCAUCAAUUUCGACCAUUGGAAAAAGGUCAGGGGAAUGUGGCAUCUUCGGAUGUGUUAUAGCCCUUGGUUGUAUACAAUGAUUGGGAUUGAGGAACUCAGCACGCCGCAAGGCCGGGUAACCACGUACGUGCUUAGGAUGCUGGCAUAAUGGCUUUAAUCGACCCGUCUUGAAACACGGACCAAGGAGUCUAACAUGCCUGCGAGUGUUUGGGUGGAAAACCCGAGCGCGCAAUGAAAGUGAAAGUUGAGAUCCCUGUCGUGGGGAGCAUCGACGCCCGGACCAGACCUUUUGUGACGGUCCUGCGGUAGAGCAUGUAUGUUGGGACCCGAAAGAUGGUGAACUAUGCCUGAAUAGGGUGAAGCCAGAGGAAACUCUGGUGGAGGCUCGUAGCGAUUCUGACGUGCAAAUCGAUCGUCAAAUUUGGGUAUAGGGG